UCAGCAACUUUCUGACUCUUGGGGCA
rnacentral:piRNA from 1 species